rnacentral:miRNA from 1 species
CGGGAUUUAGCUGGACUGAUGGA